UUCGCAGUAUAUUCUUGUGAACUUGCUGCUUUUAGAGUUCAAAUCACAGGAGUAUACUGUGAG
rnacentral:pre_miRNA from 2 species